UAGCUGGUCUGAGAGGAUGAUCAGUCACACUGGAACUGAGACACGGUCCAGACUCCUACGGGAGGCAGCAGUGGGGAAUAUUGCACAAUGGGCGCAAGCCUGAUGCAGCCAUGCCGCGUGUAUGAAGAAGGUCUUCGGAUUGUAAAGCACUUUCAGUCGUGAGGAAGGUAGGGUAGUUAAUAGUUGCCAAGCUUGACGUUAGCGACAGAAGAAGCACCGGCUAACUCCGUGCCAGCAGCCGCGGUAAUACGGAGGGUGCGAGCGUUAAUCGGAAUUACUGGGCGUAAAGCGCAUGCAGGUGGUUUGUUAAGUCAGAUGUGAAAGCCCGGGGCUCAACCUGGGAAUUGCAUUCGAAACUGGCAGACUAGAGUAUGGUAGAGGGGGGUAGAAUUUCAGGUGUAGCGGUGAAAUGCGUAGAGAUAGGAAGGAACACCGGUGGCGAAGGCGGCCCCCUGGACUGAUACUGACACUCAGAUGCGAAAGCGUGGGGAGCAAACAGGAUUAGAUA
rnacentral:rRNA from 1 species